rnacentral:rRNA from 1 species
AUAAGGGCAAUUAGCGUGGGAUUCAUGUCGGGUGCGAUCAUACCAGCACUAA